rnacentral:snRNA from 1 species
GAAGGUGAGGGCAAUCUGGCUGCAACAUUGGUUAUCUCAUUGAUCACUAGGGUUGAUUCUCUUGAUCUGGAUGGCUAGAGAGUUCUCCCCUUCCUCCCUCUCUGAUCCAUGUGCAUCCCUCCUCAAGUUGCACACUUGGUCAAACAGGAUGACCUUCCUUCAUAGUGGAGGACCAGUCUUCUAUCUGGGGUGUAACAGUAGCUGUGUCCCCAGCUAGGGCCUCCAAACAAACUCUCAAAUUCUUAUAUUUUUGAUACUAAAGCCUAUGAGUCAUUUUUUUAUUUUAAUGAAUCCUCUAUGGACCCAAACUUUAUUGGGUGUGAUAUCCUUA